UACGAAGGGUGCAAACGUUGUUCGGAAUUACUGGGCGUAAAGGGCUUGUAGGUGGCCAACUAAGUCAGACGUGAAAUCCCUCGGCUUAACCGGGGAACUGCGUCUGAUACUGGAUGGCUGGAGUGUGGGAGAGGGAAGUGGAAUUUCAGGUGUAGCGGUGAAAUGCGUAGAUAUCUGAAGGAACAUCAGUGGCGAAAGCGACUUCCUGGACCAAUACUGACGCUCAUGUGCGAAAGCGUGGGGAGCAAACAGG
rnacentral:rRNA from 1 species